rnacentral:rRNA from 1 species
UCCGAAGUUUCCCUCAGGAUAGCUGGCNNNNNNUUAAAGCGAGUCUCAUCUGGUAAAGCGAAUGAUUAGAGGCCUCUUGGGGCCGAAACGACCUCAACCUAUUCUCAAACUUUAAAUGGGUGAGAUCUCUGGCUNGCUUGAAACUUGAAGCCACGAGAUUAA